rnacentral:rRNA from 1 species
GUCCACGCCCUAAACGAUGUCAACUGGUUGUUGGGUCUUCACUUACUCAGUAACGAAGCUAACGCGUGAAGUUGACCGCCUGGGGAGUACGGCCGCAAGGUUGAAACUCAAAGGAAUUGACGGGACCCGCACAAGCGGUGGAUGAUGUGGUUUAAUUCGAUGCAACGCGAAAACCUUACCCACCUUUGACAUGUACGGAAGUCGCUAGAGAUAGCUUCGUGCUCGAAAAGAGAACCGUAACACAGGUGCUGCAUGGCUGUCGU